rnacentral:rRNA from 1 species
GAUGAACGCUGGCGGCGUGCCUAAUACAUGCAAGUCGAGCGAACAGACGCGGAGCUUGCUCCUCUGACGUUAGCGGCGGGCGGGUGAAUAACACGUGGAUACCCUCCCUGUAAAACUGGGAUAACUUCGGGAAACCGGAGCUAAUACCGGAUAAUAUAUUGAACCGCAUGGUUCAAUAGUGAAAGACGGUUUUUGUGUCACUUAUAGAUGGAUCCGCGCCGCAUUAGCUAGUUGGUAAGGUAACGGCUUACCAAGGCAACGAUGCGUAGCCGACCUGAGAGGGUGAUCGGCCACACUGGAACUGAGACACGGUCCAGACUCCUACGGGAGGCAGCAGUAGGGAAUCUUCCGCAAUGGGCGAAAGCCUGACGGAGCAACGCCGCGUGAGUGAUGAAGGUCUUCGGAUCGUAAAACUCUGUUAUUAGGGAAGAACAAAUGUGUAAGUAACUAUGCACGUCUUGACGGUACCUAAUCAGAAAGCCACGGCUAACUACGUG